rnacentral:rRNA from 1 species
GUGGGGAAUUUUGCGCAAUGGGCGAAAGCCUGACGCAGCGACGCCGCGUGGGUGAUGAAGGUCUUCGGAUCGUAAAACCCUGUCAUGCGGAACGAAACGCAUCGUCUCUAACAGAGGUGAUGCUUGACGGUACCGCAGGAGGAAGCCCCGGCCAACUACGUGCCAGCAGCCGCGGUAAUACGUAGGGGGCAAGCGUUAUUCGGAAUUACUGGGCGUAAAGCGCGUGUAGGUGGCUAGGCAAGUCAGGUGUGAAAUCCCUUGGCUCAACCAAGGAAUUGCGCUUGAAACUGCCUGGCUUGAGAGCGGGAGAGGGAAGUGGAAUUCCCAGUGUAGCGGUGAAAUGCGUAGAUAUUGGGAGGAACACCGGUGGCGAAGGCGGCUUCCUGGACCGUUACUGACGCUGAGACGCGAAAGCUAGGGGAGCAAACGGGAUUAGAAACCCUAGUAGUCC